rnacentral:rRNA from 1 species
GUUUGAUCCUGGCUCAGAACGAACGCUGGCGGCGUGCUUAACACAUGCAAGUCGAACGAGAACGGUUUUCUUCGGAGGACCUAUUAAAGUGGCGCACGGGUGAGUAACACGUAGAUAAUCUACCCAGGUGUCUGGGAUAACUGACCGAAAGGUUAGCUAAUACCGGAUACGUUCACGAUUUCGCAAGAUAACGUGAAGAAAGAUGGCCUCUUCUUGAAAGCUAUCGCAUUUGGAUGAGUUUGCGUACCAUUAGCUAGUUGGUGGGGUAAGAGCCUACCAAGGCUACGAUGGUUAGCGGGUCUGAGAGGAUGAUCCGCCACACUGGAACUGGAACACGGACCAGACUCCUACGGGAGGCAGCAGUGAGGAAUUUUGCGCAAUGGGGGAAACCCUGACGCAGCGACGCCGCGUGGACGAUGAAGGCCUUAGGGUUGUAAAGUCCUGUCAGUAGGGAAGAAGUGUGCAUGUUCUAAUACAACAUGCAUUUGACGGUACCUACAAAGGAAGCACCGGCUAACUCCGUGCCAGCAGCCGCGGUAAUACGGAGGGUGCAAGCGUUGUUCGGAAUUACUGGGCGUAAAGGGCGCGUAGGCGGCCUGAUAAGUCAGAUGUGAAAGCCCACGGCUCAACCGUGGAAGGGCAUCUGAAACUAUCAAGCUUGAGUAUGGGAGAGGAAAGUGGAAUUCCCGGUGUAGAGGUGAAAUUCGUAGAUAUCGGGAGGAACACCAGUGGCGAAAGGCGACUUUCUGGACCAAUACUGACG